rnacentral:rRNA from 1 species
AAUGAGGGUCAUAGCAGGUUGAAUGCACCGAUUCUCAUCGUUUCACCGAAGCUAAGCAACAACGAGCUUCGUUAGGACUUCGGUGGGUGACUGCUUGGGAAACUCGGUGCAGCAAGCA